rnacentral:lncRNA from 14 species
ACACACAAGAACACACUGAACAAGUCCUUUUUUCUUUUUGCCCUGUGUCUUCCAGGCCAGCUGGCCUACAAGCUGUCAGGCAAUUCUGUCCCCACCCCACUGCAGGAGUACCUGGUCCUAUGGAUUCUUGCUGCCAUUUUCAACUUCCUGCGUGGGUACCAGGGUCAAACAUAGGCUGUCAGACUUGUGUAGCUAGCACCUUCUACCCACUGAGCCAUCUUCCCAGACUCUGGAAAUAAGUUUGUAUCAUGUGAAAGACUGUAGCAAUGACAAAAAUCCAAAUGAAAAUUUGCAGUAUUCAGACUUUUAAUAUUUUUUAUUUUUGACGGUUGUAUACAGGAAUAUAAAGUAUUAUGACCAUA